AUGAACGCUGACAGAAUGCUUAACACAUGCAAGUCAACUUGAAUUUGGGUUUUUAACUUAGGUUUGGGUGGCGGACGGGUGAGUAACGCGUAAAGAACUUGCCUCACAGCUAGGGACAACAUUUGGAAACGAAUGCUAAUACCUAAUAUUAUGAUAAUAGGGCAUCCUAUAAUUAUGAAAGCUAUAAGCGCUGUGAGAGAGCUUUGCGUCCCAUUAGCUAGUUGGAGAGGUAACGGCUCACCAAGGCGAUGAUGGGUAGCCGGUCUGAGAGGGUGAUCGGCCACAAGGGGACUGAGACACGGCCCUUACUCCUACGGGAGGCAGCAGUGGGGAAUAUUGGACAAUGGACCGAGAGUCUGAUCCAGCAAUUCUGUGUGCACGAUGAAGUUUUUCGGAAUGUAAAGCGCUUUCAGUUGGGAAGAAACAAAUGACGGUACCAACAGAAGAAGUGACGGCUAAAUACGUG
rnacentral:rRNA from 1 species